ACGGCGUCGGCUGUGGAAUUGCGUGGUUCUGACUGUUUGGUAGGUCUGGAGUGCUUCCUUAACGUUGUUAGGGCCCUCGGAAUGGGAUCAUGCCUCUCUGGGGACCGGAACAAGCGAACGAUCCCUUAUUCUGAGCUUGCUUCCACUUCUCGUGAUGAUGGCGUUAUUAGGCGAAGGAAUUCCAAGAGGAAGAUUACGAGAAAGGGUUCUUCCCCCUCGAAUGACUCUUCAAGGGAGAUGUCGCUUCAUCGAGUUCCCGGCCGGAUGUUUUUGAAUGGA
rnacentral:misc_RNA from 1 species